GACGAAGGUGGCAAGCGUUGUUCGGAAUCAUUGGGCUUAAAGGGCGCGUAGGCGGCUCAGUAAGUGUCUUGUGAAAUCCCUCGGCUUAACCGGGGAAUUGCUGGGCAUACUGCUGAGCUUGAGGUAGGUAUGGGCGAGUGGAACUCUUGGUGGAGCGGUGGAAUGCGUAGAUAUCAAGAGGAACGCCGGUGGUGAAGACGAUUCGCUAGGCCUGUCCUGACGCUGAGGCGCGAAAGCCAGGGGAGCAAACGGG
rnacentral:rRNA from 1 species